rnacentral:lncRNA from 1 species
CUUAUCAGUAAUGCCAAGAUUUUGUGGCAUCAUCUGGCCAUGUCAUUAGAAAACGGCUGAAACCCUAUUCUUUUCUUUUCUUUUUUUCCCUUCUUUUAGCAAAAUUCAGCAUAACGAGCUACACUAGGCACUGUGGAUAACGCCAUUCUGUGCAUUAAUUCUGAACUGCAUAAGGUCUGGAGUAUCUUCCUGUAUAUAUCUUCAAAUAAGGUUGACUAAAAGUGCAGAAACCUAUGGCUGAAGCAAGGAUCUGUCAUUGAUACAAGAGAGCAAUGGCACCUGGGGAUGUGCUGGUAAGAAUUUCUAAUGAAGUCAAUUACGAAACCACAGGCAGUGGAGACAGGAAACAGUAAAAUCGCAAAAAAUUCAGGAUAUAAGGAGACACUAGACAUUAAGAUAACCAGACCAAGGGCUACUCUGGUGACUACAGAAGAAGAGUUCCACUCUGCUGUGGGACUGUCCACAGUUCUGCUUGUCACAUGCUUUGAUGUCAGCAUAAGUCAACUUUAUUGCAAGAGACCUAAGCCCUGGCAUCAAAAGGUAAGCUGGGUCAAUUAGAUGCACCUCUCA